CAUGAUCUGGCAACAGCAAAGCGGGGAUCGGUAACGACCUCGCGCGAUUGGAGCGGCCGAUGUCCGAUUAGCUAGUUGGUGGGGUAAAGGCCUACCAAGGCGACGAUCGGUAGCUGGUCUGAGAGGAUGAUCAGCCACACUGGGACUGAGACACGGCCCAGACUCCUACGGGAGGCAGCAGUGGGGAAUUUUGGACAAUGGGGGCAACCCUGAUCCAGCCAUGCCGCGUGAGUGAAGAAGGCCUUCGGGUUGUAAAGCUCUUUCGGUGGGAACGAAACGGUGCAGGCUAACACUCUGCACUAAUGACGGUACUCACAGAAGAAG
rnacentral:rRNA from 1 species